AAACAUUCAAAGGUGGGACAUUACAAGACUCAGUGGUGAACUGUGCUGACUCAAAAUAGUUAGGAGGAGUGUAACUGAGCCCAUGUGGUAAAUAGCAGCACAGACUCAUGUCUGUUUUCAGUGAAGCCUAAGGACUAAAAGAUCAGUGGAUUACAAUCUUUAAACUAAAGAGGACAUCAGUUUGAAUUUUUUUAUACUCUUCACAGUAACAAGUAGUCAUUUUAUGCUCAAUCUUUCAAACUGUCAGAUGUCUUGAUUGUGAACUUUUUAGCAAAGUGCUUUUCUCCCCAUUAAACUAAACAAAUUGUUCUGUGUGUGAGACCAUUUCACUGACUAGUUAACAGUGUUCAGACCUACAACGCUAAGCCUCCCCCUUAUCAAAUAGGGAAACCAAAACUGCAGACACAGCAAAAGACAGCUUAAUCACCCAACAGACGGCAUACCCAGUUUGAGAAAGAAACAUCAACGUUAUUCAUAAACACACCCAGAGAAAAAAAAAAGAUAUUUUUUUUUCAGCACAUUUUUUUUAAACUGACUCAUGUAGUGAAGGAAAAAAACAAUCUUUAGUUUGUUGCGUCUUCCUUUUAUUUAUAUCUUUAACAACAUCUAAAUAUUUUACAUCCUCUUUUUCUUUUCUGUUUUUACCCACAUGUACACUUUUAUCACUUACUAUUAAUCUCUGGCUCAUUUUAUCUAAAAAAAAAAAACCCAUCAGGUUGACGUGCAAAAACAGUGAUGAUGUCAUAGUUCCAUUACUUAGAAGCUAAAGCUUUCCAAAACUAAAAAGUAGUUGUCAAUGACAACUGUUUCUACAAAACACAUAUACAAUACAAGUCUAUUGCUUUUUCAUGUAAAAUAAGACUUAAAGAACUUCUAAAUCUUUUUUCACAUUAAGUUAGAAGCAUGGACAACAGUCUACAAACAGGUAAUAACUCUGAUCAAAUUGCAGUUUGUUCUGAUGCAAACAAUAAUGCAUUUUUAAGUGAACCCUCAUUACUGUAGUACGAGUUUAACAAUACCAGGAUCUGCUAUGCUUUGAGGAUAUUGUUCCUACAGGGUGGGAUUCAGAAGUUCAAGACCGGAUGAGGAUUUUAAUGUGCUAGAGGUGCAGCUGCUCUAAGAAAUAAAAGUUGAGGAUGAGAAAUGAAGGCACAAAGCAUGAUGAUUCCACUCCUAUGCUUCUCAGUGGAUAUGGUGUUCUGGUCCAAAACUGGUCACUGGCAUGCCCUACAGAGUUGUACCAUGACACAGGCCCCUGUGCUAGAAAACUACAGUGUAGUUCUAUGAAUGUGAGGCAUGAAGGAUCUGGCGGCCAGCAGAAGUAAACCUGGUUUCCUACUGUGUGUGUUAGAUAUGCCUGGACAAAAAAAAAGGUUUUAGAGCCAGGAAUGGCAAGUAAUCAACCCUUGAAAUCCAAUAUGGCUCAACCGAACUGGUAUGAUGCGAGUUGUCCCUUAUACUAGAGCUUGAGAAGGGCCCCUUACUCUGCAUCUCCUUUCUCACUUCACACAACAACACAUAGACAAAAGGACCCCUCUCUUUCUUCACAACCACAGCUACACAUUAAGUGGGUGCAGGAGAGGUAAAACGUAAAAAAACAUUUUGUGUAAAUAAGGAACAAAUAAUACACAAUACAAUGUUCUGCAUACUAGAGCCUAAAGAAAUAAAGUAAUACAAUAUUUUAUUUAAAAACGACUAUUUAAAAACAGUGACAAAAGGUAAACCACAUAAAGGUUUGGUUGCUCCAUUCAAUCUCAAAAGAAUAGCUUGAGUUAAGUUGUAGAACAAACCUGCAGUGUGUUGCGAUGAUUGCAUCACUAAAGCAUGCAUGAACUGUUGUUUGCUUAGUGACGUAAAUUGUUGUCAGAGAAUUGUUUGAGAUAAAAAGACCAAGAAUAAAAAGCAGGAAACUUCUCCUGUCCAUCUA